GGGUGUUUAGCUCAGUUGGUAGAGCAUUUCGUUUACACCGAAAAUGUCAGCGGUUCGACUCCGUUAACACCUA
rfam:Ostreococcus tauri mitochondrion, complete genome.